GAGGAAUGGAUGAAGUGAGAAACUGAAAAACUCUGCAAAUGGCUUAAUGGGAUUUACUGGAGAAAGGGCAGAGAGGCAGCACAAUGGAGUAAGAGCGUGUAGCCAGAAGCCAGACCACCUGGGGUUUGGAACACUGAGACCAGCUCUUCAAAGCCCACUCAAAAGUAUCUAAUUCUUCUUGGAUGACAUUGUUGCUGCUGAUUGUAGGUGCAGAAUCUUCAUGAAUGAUGUACUUAUAUGUCAGGCUGGAGUGAGUAUCGUUCUCCUGAGGGAUGAUCUAAUGGAUACGUGAAAUAGAUAGCCACCCAACUACGAAGUACGGUGAGACAUUCCUAUUAAAGAGGGCACGUUCUGCAUGGAGCGCCGGGUGUUAUAUGCAAACAAUGAAUCAUGGAACACUACAUCAAAAACUAAUGAUGUAAUGUAU